rnacentral:rRNA from 1 species
CACGAAUUAAGGCGAGCUAAAUAAUGAUAAUCAGUGGAUUAAUAUAUGUAGCAUAAUAGGAUUAAAUUAUUAUUUAGGAGUGAUAGGCUAAUCAAGUCUUAGUAUAUCUUGAUACUUUGAAAAAACAGCAGUGUUGAGGCAACUUAAGAAUGAUAAGGUUUUUAAGAAACAUUAAUAAUUUUUUUUGUGGUGUUAUUUUGGUUUAAUCAUUAAAUAGAGAGCGCUAAUUAUUAUUAAUAUAGAAAUUUUAUGUAUUAUACAAGGUACCAUGGAACAUAUUGGAGUGUUUAUAAUGUGAUUAUUAGUAAUCCAAUAGGUUAAAUUAAUGAACUCGGCAACAUACCUUUCACCUGUUUAUCAAAAACAUAGCCAUGAGGCAUUAUUUAUGGUAUUUUCUGCUCCAUGAACUAGUUAAAUAGCCGCAGUACUCUGACUGUGCAAAGGUAGCGUAAUAAGUUGACUUAUAAUUGAAGUCUUGAAUGAAAGAAAGUUUGGGGGGUAGCUGUAUCAGUGAAAUAAUUUGAAGUUGCUAAGUAAGUGCAAAUACUUACAUUAAAAUAAUAGACGAGAAGACCCUAGAAAUUUUGAUUAUAGCGCUUAUGAACGUUUUUGUUGGGGCAACAAGGUAACAAGGAACUUACCGUUAUAUACAAGGAACUAUAUAGUUAGACUAAAUUACUCUAGGGAUAACAGCGUAAUUUUCUCUUGUUUGCGACCUCGAUGUUGGACUAGGGAACGAUUGCUUAGAA